rnacentral:tRNA from 1 species
ACCGUCAUAACUUAGUGGUUAGAGCACUGGUCUAGUAAACCAAAGGUCAAGAGUUCAAUUUUCUCUGGAGGCA